rnacentral:rRNA from 1 species
AUUGAACGCUGGCGGCAGGCCUAACACAUGCAAGUCGAGCGGAUGAAGGGAGCUUGCUCCUGGAUUCAGCGGCGGACGGGUGAGUAAUGCCUAGGAAUCUGCCUGGUAGUGGGGGAUAACGUCCGGAAACGGGCGCUGAUACCGCAUACGUCCUGAGGGAGAAAGUGGGGGAUCUUCGGACCUCACGCUAUCAGAUGAGCCUAGGUCGGAUUAGCUAGUUGGUGGGGUAAAGGCCUACCAAGGCGACGAUCCGUAACUGGUCUGAGAGGAUGAUCAGUCACACGGGAACUGAGACACGGUCCAGACUCCUACGGGAGGCAGCAGUGGGGAAUAUUGGACAAUGGGCGAAAGCCUGAUCCAGCCAUGCCGCGUGUGUGAAGAAGGUCUUCGGAUUGUAAAGCACUUUAAGUUGGGAGGAAGGGCAGUAAGUUAAUACCUUGCUGUUUUGACGUUACCAACAGAAUAAGCACCGGCUAACUUCGUG